rnacentral:misc_RNA from 1 species
AAGUCGUAACAAGGUUUCCGUAGGUGAACCUGCGGAAGGAUCAUUAACGAAUAACUAUGGUGUCUUGGUUGUAGCUGGCUCCUCGGAGCAAUGUGCACGCCCGCCAUUUUUAUCUUUCCACCUGUGCACCGACUGUAGGUCUGGAUGACUCUCGUACUCCGGUGCGGAUGCGAGGAUUGCUCUCGGGCUCUCCUCGAAUUUCCAGACUCUACGUCUUUUUACACACCCCAAACGUAUGAUACAGAAUGUAGUCAAUGGGCUUGAUCGCCUAUAAAACACUAUACAACUUUCAGCAACGGAUCUCUUGGCUCUC